CGCGGUUAUACCAAGUGAUUAAGUUAUAUAUAUAGGUAAAAAGACAAUUAGGCGUAACAUUACAUAGUUUAUUGAGCAUUUAUGUAAAAGUAAAAUUUGUAUAUAGAUAGUCAAUUUAGCAAUGGCUUAUUAUGCUGAGCUUGUGAUAAUUUUGAGGGAAACUGGGAUUAGAUACCCCAUUAUUCUUGAUUGUAAAUAUAAAUAAAUUUACCAGAGUACUAUGAAUAGUUAAAAAUUUAAAACUCAAAGGGCUUGGCGGUGUUUUAGACCUAUCAGGGGAACCUGUCUCAUAAUCGACAGUCCACGUUGUACCUAACCUUAUUUUGUAACUCAGUUUGUAUACCGUCGUCGUCAGGUAACUUUUAAAAACGUAGAAGUUAGCAAUAGAAAUAGUAAAUUAAGACGUCAGAUCAAGGUGCAGCUUAUAAUAAGGAGAGGAUGGGUUACAAUUAUGAUAAUUAUAACUACGAAAAUUUAAAUGAAAAUAUUCUG
rnacentral:rRNA from 1 species